CCAGCCUGUCGUCUGUGGUCCUACGUCUGGACUCGAAAGGCAGACGCACGUGCCUUCUCAGAUCUCCUGCUAGGACUGUGCAAGGACAGAAGUGCAGCCCAGAAGGCAGAGGAGACCACUGGUGUAACCCGCCAGGAACAGCCUCCUGGAUCUGCAAUGGCAAACAAGACAUCUGGCAACAUCCUUCCUUUGGCUCGUCAGUAUCCAUUUCUGUUUGUGGGAAAAGUUUGUGUCUCCGUCACAGGGAAUCCAUGAGAUCUCUUCAGCUGCUGAAUCAUCAUGGAGUGAUGUCAACUCCGUCAUACCUAUGUCUGGAACUAAAACACUGGUAGUGACUGGGGUUCUCCCAGGCAGCUGGGAGAAAAAGCCAAAGGAAAAAAAAAGAGGAACAGAACAGCAGUUGAUACAGUCCUUACAUCUGUAACUAGACACAGCAUAGAUUGGGAAUCAUUCAUUUUUGAUUUGGAUACGUUUGCAAGCCCUACGUGAUGUACCCCUGGUGCAGUCCUGUGAGACAUGACCUCUGCAGAUUGCUAAACUGUACAAAACUUCUAAA